GUGGCCUGGUGUCCUGGCCAGCCCGUGGCCCCUCUCUUCAGAGCAAAGCAGCUCUGCGGGUCCCGGAACCUGCCCGUGGCUCCUUCCCUCUUGGACACGGCCCUGCCACUCUGGCUGCCUCGGCCCCUCAGGCCUGGCUGGGAUGACACCACCUCCUCCAGGAAGCCCGCGGUUUGCCUCUCCCUCCCACCCGCACUGGCCUCUCUACGCCUGAACAAGCACGCCCACAGCCUCCCCUGUUCCUGGUGCUCAGCACGUGUGCCUCUCGCUGGGCUAUUCUGGGUCCCUCCCCGGUCGGGUGCUACUCCUUCCUGCGUGCAGGGCUCUGAGGCUGCGGCCCCGGCGGCCCCACCCUUCCCUGCAGAAGCCACAUCAAGGCAGGCAGGGGUGUGGCAGCGGUUGGGGCUCUGCGUCCCAGACUUCCCUAGUGCACACCCCAGUGGGCAGUGGUGCUGACACCUGGGGGCUCAGCACCAGGCCCACCCUCCCCCCACCCCCCAGCUCUCAGCACCUUCCGAACCCCGCCUGGAGUACACCCUUCCUGGCUGCACGGACGCCAGGGGCCCGCUGUGGAGUGCUGGCUGGGCCAAGCCGGGGUAGGGGGGUGGGGCAGACUAGACCCCCAGGGGCCUCCUGAACAGAGACCCCAGCCCUGAGGGCCUGCCACCUGGGGGAGGGGAGUGGGGCUGAGGUCCUCCACGUGGCCCCGAGUCCACGUGACACUUGCCUGCCUGAGAGCCUUGCUGUGGCUCGGGAGCCUCGCCGUCAGGAACACACGUGCUCCGUCUGGUCCAGAGACACCCUGCGCGGCUCCCAGGCCGUCACCUCGCUGGGACCGAGUGCCUGCUCCAGUUGCCAGGAUCCUGUCACCUCUCUCUUCCUUCACGUCCCAUCGGUGGUGUAACUGCUCCCACUGGUGGAAACUCUAAGAAAACCUCUCAGGACGGCUUCCUGCACCGGCUGCGCCUUCUGUCCUUCCCGCGAGGGGCGUCCUCGUUGGCCUACGCGUGUUCCUCCCGGACCUCCCACGGCCCCUUGUUUCUGUGGGGUCGGUGCUGAUGCCCCCACUCUCAUGCCUCCUUUUCUAAUUUGAGUCCGUUUUUCUGAGUGCAUCUAGUCAAACGCGCCCCAAGUCUGCUGCUCUUUGAAGGAGCCAACUGUACGUUCCACGUCCCGGUUUUCCCCUAUUUUUCCAUCCUCCGUGUGUACCUCCUCCCUUCUCCUGACCCUGAACCUGGGCUGUCCUUCUCGCUCCUGAAGUCAGGUCCGCUGGCGGACUGGUUCCCCUUUUUCACACGGCGCUUACCGCACAGCACCCCCUCGGCCCUGCUUUCCCCGCACCCCUCACACCCCACUCUGCUGCGUUGUCCUUUUCGCUGGGCUUGAGCUGGUCUCUGACUUCCCUGUGAGCAGCUGUGGGGAGGGGCUCAGGCGCAGGGGAGGGUAGAGGCUUCCGUGAGGAAGGGACACUUGAACCCAGUCUGGGAGACCGAGGAGCCAAGGGCCUGAAGACCACGGAGUGGGCCCCUCCCAGGCCUGUGGGAGGCUGGGGCCAGGGCCCCAGGGGGUGUGUCAGGGGCUGGGUUCCUGGGACAGAUGCUGGGCCGAGUGGGGCGGCUGAGGGUGGUGCCUGGCAGGGGCCGGGGGCAGAAAGGGGAAGGGGCGUUGGACACAGAAGGGCCUUCCCUCAGGUCCCGGUGACAAAAGUUUAUCAAAGGACAAAGGGAGUGAUAUGUCAUGAUUCCCAGGUGGAAAACCUCCCAAGGGGAAAGGGGUCUGGAGGGGCUCGGAGCAGAGGCAGGGGUGCAGGGGUCCCAGGCACAGGAGGGGGCACGAGAGACAUGGGACGCAGUCUGAGGCUCCCUGGCAGGCUCCCCGCUUCAUCUGCCCUUGAAUUUUGGGUCUCCACCCCCCCCCCCCCACCGGCCCCAGGAGGCUGGUGGGGGCAGGCUCCAAGUGCACUGUCCAGGCAGCCCUGACCCUGAGCAAGGCCGGCCCGGUUCCAGCACCAGAGUGGAUCGGGAAUGGCCCAGGAAUCCCUGCAUUUCCUGGGACAUUUCUUGAAGACACCCCCUCACUUGUGUGCCACAGACAGAAGGGCCUCCCUUGGAAGACACGGGCUGGGCUCUGCUGUCGGGGCGGACCGAGGCUUCCAGAAGGAGAUUCCCCACCGAGGCCCCACUGCCCACCAGGAGAACUAUGGUCAGCUCAGCCUGUGCCCCUACAGGUGAUUAAGACUUUCUCUCCAGUAAGGGGGAUGGGAUCUGCCUCAGGGUGGGGGUGAC